UAGGGAGCGAGCGUUGUCCGGAAUUACUGGGUGUAAAGGGAGCGUAGGCGGGAUUGCACGUCAGAUGUGAAAUUUAUGGGCUUAACCCAUAACGUGCAUUUGAAACUGUAGUUCUUGAGUGAAGUAGAGGUAAGCGGAAUUCCUAGUGUAGCGGUGAAAUGCGUAGAUAUUAGGAGGAACAUCAGUGGCGAAGGCGGCUUACUGGGCUUUAACUGACGCUGAGGCUCGAAAGCGUGGGGAGCAAA
rnacentral:rRNA from 1 species